rnacentral:rRNA from 1 species
GAUCAUGGCUCAGGAUGAACGCUGGCGGCGUGCUUAGCACAUGCAAGUCGAACGGAGUUUUAACGGAAGUUUCGGAUGGAAGUUAAGAACUUAGUGGCGGACGGGUGAGUAACGCGUGGGUAACCUGCCUCAUACAGGGGGAUAACAGUUAGAAAUGACUGCUAACACCGCAUAAUAUAGUGAAACCGCAUGAUUAUGCUAUCAAAUAUUUAUAGGUAUGAGAUGGGCCCGCGUCUGAUUAGCUAGUUGGUGGGGUAAAGCCUACCAAGGCGACGAUCAGUAGCCGGCUUGAGAGAGUGACCGGCCACAUUGGGACUGAGACACGGCCCAAACUCCUACGGGAGGCAGCAGUGGGGAAUAUUGGACAAUGGGGAAACCCUGAUCCAGCGAACCGCCGCGUGAGUGAAGAAGUAUUUCGGUAUGUAAAGCUCUAUCAGCAGGGAAGAUAAUGACAGUACCUGACUAAGAAGCCCCGGCUAACUACGUGCCAGCCGCAGC